rnacentral:rRNA from 1 species
UACGUAGGGAGCAAGCGUUGUCCGGAAUCAUUGGGCGUAAAGCGCGCGUAGGUGGCCUCAUAAGUCCGCUGUGAAAGUCAAAGGCUCAACCUUUGAAAGCCGGUGGAUACUGUGAGGCUAGAGUACGGAAGAGGCGAGUGGAAUUCCUGGUGUAGCGGUGAAAUGCGCAGAUAUCAGGAGGAACACCAAUGCGAAGGCAGCUCGCUGGGACGUUACUGACGCUGAGACGACGAAGCGUGGGGAGCGAAACAGG